UACAGAGGGUGCGAGCGUUGUUCGGAAUUACUGGGCGUAAAGCGCGCGCAGGCGGCUCUCUAAGUCUACGGGUGAAAGACCGGGGCUCAACCCCGUGUCAGCCCGGGAUACUGGGGAGCUAGGGACAUGUAGGGGCGAGCGGAAUUCCGGGUGUAGCGGUGGAAUGCGUAGAGAUCCGGAAGAACACCGGGGGCGAAGGCGGCUCGCUGGGCAUGGUCCGACGCUGAGGCGCGAAAGCUAGGGGAGCGAACAGG
rnacentral:rRNA from 1 species